AGCAUGUGGUUUAAUUCGAAGCAACGCGAAGAACCUUUACCAGGUCUUGACAUCCCGAUGCUAUUUCUAGAGAUAGAAAGUUACUUCGGUACAUCGGUGACAGGUGGUGCAUGGUUGUCGUCAGCUCGUGUCGUGAGAUGUUGGGUUAAGUCCCGCAACGAGCGCAACCCCUAUUGUUAGUUGCCAUCAUUCAGUUGGGCACUCUAGCGAGACUGCCGGUAAUAAACCGGAGGAAGGUGGGAUGACGUCAAAUCAUCAUGCCCCUUAUGACCUGGGCUACACACGUGCUACAAUGGUUGGUACAACGAGUUGCGAGUCGGUGACGGCGAGCUAAUCUCUUAAAGCCAAUCUCAGUUCGGAUUGUAGGCUGCAACUCGCCUACAUGAAGUCGGAAUCGCUAGUAAUCGCGGAUCAGCACGCCGCGGUGAAUACGUUCCCGGGCCUU
rnacentral:rRNA from 1 species